rfam:Ornithorhynchus anatinus chromosome 2, whole genome shotgun sequence.
AGCAGCAUGGCUUAGUGGAAAGAGCACAGGCUUGGGAGUCAGAGGAUGUGGGUUCUAAUCCCAUCUCUGCCA